UUGCAGAGCAGCCACAGCCGAAACCCUCUCUUCCCCAACCCUCUUUCUCUUUAUUCCUCUAUCUGCAGUUUCUCAAUCUCUGCUCUUCUUUCAAUCUAUAUAUCUCGAUUUCUUCUUUUAUUUCUCAUUUAGAAUUUGAUUUGUUUUUGAUUCAUGGUAUUUAUUGGAAACGAUGAAGAACACCUAAAACCCAGAAUACAGACUCUUCUCCAAACAUCUUCAUUGGUUGAAGAUGAUCAAGAUCUGGGUUAUAUGGGGUUUAACUGACUAGCAGAAUGAGGAUGAGACACUGGCUGAGGAGCAAAAUGAACAGGAAAUGGGCCUGAGUGACAGUGAUGAUGGUAACAAGAAGGUAUGCUGAAGAGACAUGCUGAAGUUGCUAACAAGAAGGCUCCCCCUGGUGACCUCAAAAGUCAGUUGGUGUAGAGAUAUGGUGAAUUUGGGUGAAAUAUAAUUGAGCCUAUCUACUGUUAUGUCUAAUGCGGCAUUAAGUGUGAAAUUUUUAUUUACGUUACUUUUUGGUGUAAAAAAGUUUAAUUAUCACUCUGCUUAGUUAUUUUAUUUUUAGAUAUUUCUUCUCACUGCCGUGGAAGUGUUACUGGUACAGUUAGUGGCGGAAAUCAUCCACAACAAACACAACUUCAGAUGGGAAUCCCAUUCUGUUGUUUAAUGUAAAAUCGCCAAAUGGAUUAAUGACAGGGCGGGUAAAAAAAGUAUAACAUGUGAAUGCUUCACAUUGUUUACCGUGUUGGAGACUUGGACAAGACCAUAAAAUUCUACACGGAGUGCCUUGGGGUGAAGCUGCUAACAUGAUAUACUUGAAUAGAGAUACACAAAUGCUUUUCUUGGUUACGGUCCUAAAGAUUCACAUUAUGUGGUUGAGCUCACUUAUAGUUAUGGGGUCGACAAGUAUGAUAUCGGAAAUGGUUUCGAUCAUUUUGGUAUAGCAGUUGAGGAUGUAACUUUAUCUUGCAUAAAGUACAUUAUUUCUCAGUUAUUUGCAUAUUAUCUACGACAUAUGCUGCAAAGGUGGCAGUACUGUAAUUGCGUUUAUUGAAGAUCCAGAUGGUUACAAGUUUGAGCUUUAGAGAGGGGACCUACGCCAGAGCCCCUGUGCCAAGUAAUGCUUCGUGUAGGUGAUCUUGACCGCGCCCUAAGUUACUAUGAGAAGCGGCUGUGAACUUCUUGGCAUAUGUUCCAGUACAACACUUUGAUGGAGGGAUGGUCAACAAUUUGAGUCAUGGGAGGCUCACUAGUAUGCAGUACAAGCAGCUAUCAAGCCACAAAAAGACUUAUUAAUGGUACAAUAUUUCUUCUGCUAAUGGGUGUCCUUAACUGAAAGCUGCUUGCUAAGAAAUCCAAUUCUUUACCUUUAGCCAAAUGAACGAAGCUUUCACAUGCGUACACAAAGCACAGGGCAUCCGUCUUUCUUCCUUCCAUUCCAUGAGCACGAGUACUAAGGGUCCCUUGAUGGAAGAACUUAAAGUUAUUUGGAGCAGAGGUAUUCAUACAGUAUUUCAUCUUAACUAAACAGUAUGGGCAGGUACUUCAUGUAUUUGUAUUUCAGUUAUUAUUUUUUUCUUAGAGACAUCCAACAAUGUAGAGUCCAUUUUCCCUUUGAAACAUUUUGUAAGAUCCCUUGAUGUAAUGUUAAGUUAAUACAUAU